rnacentral:lncRNA from 1 species
CUGAAUUCUCCACCUAACUUCUUCAAAAUCCUCAACUAUUCAUCCAAUCUGGAGUUAAUAAGAAACAUUUGUGUAUAAGUAGGAGCAAAUAAUAUUUUACUUUUUUAUUUAUAAGAUAGCAAAUGCACAUCAGGAAUUGCAAAGCUGUUUUUGAGAAAACGAGGAUCCAGUUUACCUGAAGAGUUGUGAAGAAUAUAUGAAGAUGGGGUGCCAUCAGAGCGACAGAGUUGAAACCAGAUGGGAUAUCACACAAUUACAAACCCACGAGUUUUCCUGUUACUUUAAGGACAAAGGAAGAGGACAUUUGAAAAGACAGUAGUUUUAGAAGCCCUUGAAAAUACCUCCAUCAAGAAGCUCUGGAUCUGCAAGGGGUGGGGGCUUUUGCAUUAAAAAAAAAAGAAAAGAAAAGAAAAGCAGCAGCUACUCUUGCACCUUUCCCCCAGUACGCUGGAGCCACCAACAGGUAACUGCCUAGAAGACAAGGGAUCCAGAGGAAUUUUUUUCCUGCACCUUUAUACAUUCAUCAUCUUUGACUGAGACUGUAUUGGAAACAAUUCUAGCCACUAAAAUUUUCUG